CCUACGGGUGGCAGCAGUGAGGAAUAUUGGUCAAUGGGCGGAAGCCUGAACCAGCCAAGUAGCGUGCAGGAUGACGGCCCUACGGGUUGUAAACUGCUUUUAUACGGGAAUAACGCGCCUUACGUGUAGGGCUUUGCAUGUACCGUAUGAAUAAGGACCGGCUAAUUCCGUGCCAGCAGCCGCGGUAAUACGGAAGGUCCGGGCGUUAUCCGGAUUUAUUGGGUUUAAAGGGAGCGUAGGGCGGUUGUCAAGUGUGUUGUGAAAUUUUGGGGCUCAACCCGGGCCUUGCAGUGGAUACUGGCGGGCUUGAGUCCGCGGGAGGCAGGCGGAAUGCGUGGUGUAGCGGUGAAAUGCUUAGAUAUGACGAAGAACCCCGAUUGCGAAGGCAGCUUGCUGCAGCGGAACUGACGCUGAUGCUCGAAAGCGCGGGUAUCGAACAGGAUUAGAUACCCGGGUAGUC
rnacentral:rRNA from 1 species